ensembl:lncRNA
UUUAGAAUUAGCAUUGACAGCCGAAGCGCAACUUUUCUCCAGGCAAAGUGAAAUCAAGCCGCGGACUCGGACAAAAUCUAGUCCCCCUUUUUCAACUCGAAAUUAUCGAAAGAAGCGGCACGCCACGAUUUGGUCGGAUGUAUCGAUAUUCGGACGUAUUUGGGAUGUAACUGACCGAGGUCCUGGCUCUUUCCGCUGUGUUUGGACCACUUUUUUCGACGGGCGUAAAGUGGGUGAUGAGUCCUACCCUGUAAAGAAGCGAGAACUUGCUUUUGCAGCCCCGAGUAGUUCUUCUUUCAAUUGUUAUUGCCGCUUUAAAAAAAUCUUUAAUUCACUUAAACUUCGUACGCAUCGCGUCGAAAGUGGGAGAAAAGUGCUUUUGAAGUCGGACCAUGGAACUACAAGGCCUACAAGAGGCGCUGAAAGUAGAGAUCCAAUGCCAUCAGGACGGAGAGCUUAAGAAACAGCUGCACGACAGACACCCCAGAAUAACAAGCCUAAGCGAGAAACAAUUUUCAGGACUUGGACCAGCAGCGCCUCGCUUUGAGACGCGAUCAAACCCGACGCCGAUCCGCACACACUCGACGCCAAUCCCG